rnacentral:tRNA from 1 species
GUCGCGAUGGCAGAGCGGUCUAAUGCGGUAGACUAGAACUUCUCACGAAAUCUUGAUAUCUACUCUCUUCGGAGGCGCAGGUUCGAAUCCUGCUCGCGACU